rnacentral:tRNA from 1 species
GGGCGUUUAGCUCAGCUGGUUCAGAGCAUCUGCCUUACAAGCAGAGGGUCGGCGGUUCGAAUCCGUCUACGCUUA